CAUAACCAAGAGACGCGUAUCAUCCGUUCGUGAAACACGACGCGCUUUUCCGAAAUUCAAUAUUCUCCCAUCCCCCUAACCACCCCACCACCGUAGAAAGUGAAUGCAACUGCUACCCCUAUGCAUAUACAGAUAUACCAUACUGCCAGAUAGAACAAAGAACUUUCAAUGGCAUCAAUACAGCGAGAAAACGUUGCUCAUCCGGUUUAGCGGUAUCGAUAAAUCCUCAUUCUGUCACAAUGGAGACAAGCAGCCAGCUAACCCCCGCCGCCCUCAGCUCCAAGCGGUGACGUUCAAACGAUUACCCGUUACUCUCUGAUAUUCCAGCCUUCCAGCCUGAAGAGAUCUGUUGUCUGGCCCGUUAAACGGAAACCUAUUUAACUACUAGUAGUCCCGUAGUCCCGGUAUGCUUGGAGUCCUAUGUAUAUACAUCGGCUGAACCUAUCGCAGCGGUUCCCAACCACCAACAACAAAACUGUUCUUUGUCCUUGCUCGAACAGCCAUGGCGUUGUCCGUAGUUAGUGAAAUCGCCGAGUAAUUCAGUAAGGGUAUACCAGGUGGCGCCAGGUUCGAUAAGGAAUAAAAGGUGGGUAGCAUCCCCAGGCACUUUGAUACAGAAACUUCCACGGACGACAAUGGAGUCCUCUGGAAUACGAUUUCCCGUAUUUCUCAAUAGCAAUGUUCAUCUUUGAGAUACGCAAAGCAACGUUGGUGAUAUAUCGUUGAGUUCUAAAGGAGAUAAGGGUGAUGCCAAGGAACGUAGCCAGACGUGUCCUGUACGCGUCGGAUGCUUACAUAGGUGUAUGUGGCACGUACUGAUUUUGGCGUCUGCGUAAGGCUGUGUUCCGUGACGUCAUCACGAUCGAUCCGUACUGAACGUAACGUGGCGCUAUCUGACGGCGUAGAACUUGUAGCUUCGUAUAAUCGUGGGCGGACGGAGUAUCGCACGAGCGAACCGUGUAAAGUGCGAGGAGUGACAGAGGAACGGUUCCUUGGGGGUUGAGGGUUGUACGUUGACGUACUGUGCCGAUGACGGUGUCUCGUCCCGGUGACGAGAUUGGUGUUUCUGUGUUCUGGCUUUCUCGUAUUCCGAAAUUUCCUCCGGAAUAUGAGCCGUACUAAAAGUGUUCAUAGAUACGUUGUUCAUUGAAACUGAAGUCUUAAGACUGCAUUGCUCACGAGAAACCGUCCGGAGACAGGACUGGGUCUUGUUACGAUCUGAGAAUACGAUCUUUUUUCUUGGCUUCCUUCUUACUCGUCUAGACCGUCUAACAAUGGGAGGAAUGUAUCGAUGGAGCUGUAUUAUACAGGCUGCUGUAAAACCCAGCUAGAGCCACGGUGAACUAUAGUGAGAGCAACUUUAUGGUCGAAGAUUGUAAAUGGAAUUCGAAGCCGGUUGCUGCUGGUUACGGUUGCUAACGGUCCCGAAAUAUCCUGUGGAUUUUUACAAGACAUUGAUUCCUUCUGAUGACGCGACAGGACGAACUACACAAUUGGAAACACAUGGAAAUACGUGGCUAAUAUAUAUAUAUAUAUAUAUCACUGUUUCUCAUUCAAGCAAAUCAUUUAAUUUCUAAUAAUAAAAC